CUCCCACCAUCUUCAGCCCUGAGACUUGCCUUUAUGCUCACCAACUUCUGUUGAUUCUGAUGUUCCUUCCCUAAUUCCCAAGGAUGACUGAGGCUGCUUGAAUGCCAUUCCAGAUUUAGAAAAACUUCACUGACCAGAGUGUGAAAGUCCUGCUCUUAUCUCCCUACUGUGGCUGCAAUGGCUGCCAGGCAGGCUGAACAGACCACUCUGUGUUGGCCAGGAAAUAACAGGUAAAAGAGAAAGAAGCUUUACAAGUGGUGGAGAAGUGCUAGGAAACGAAAGCCAUCGCUCUGGCACAUGUGAUGCCAAGGAUGAAACUGAAGACCUUCAGCAAGCGAGCAAAGCUUGUGCUCCACAACUGAAGAAAGAAGCUAAUAAAACAUCUCUGAACUUUGUGGAAAAAAAAAGACUGCUGGGAAGACCUGCAUCACUCACCUGGAUCAAACCUCACCACCAAGACACAGAGGAGAACAGCAGCCAGGAUGCUCUUUUUGAAGGGCAAGGAACAGAAAUGUCUCACUGCAAAGUCCCAAAACUUUUGAAGCAAUGUCAGU